rfam:Mucispirillum schaedleri ASF457 genomic scaffold acYAd-supercont1.1, whole genome shotgun sequence.
UGUAUGGAGAGUUUGAUCCUGGCUCAGAACGAACGCUGGCGGCGUGCUUAACACAUGCAAGUCAGGGAGAAAGUCUCUUCGGGGAUGAUUAAACCGGCGCACGGGUGAGUAACACGUGAGUGACCUGCCUUUUAGACUGGAACAACUUACCGAAAGGUGAGCUAAUGCCGGAUGAGUUAUAUAAGUGCAUGUUUAUAUAGGAAAAGUUGGGGAGACCUGACGCUGAAAGAUGGACUCGCGUCCCAUUAGCUAGUUGGUAGGGUAAUGGCCUACCAAGGCGACGAUGGGUAGCCGGCCUGAGAGGGUGGCCGGCCACACUGGGACUGAGACACGGCCCAGACUCCUACGGGAGGCAGCAGUGGGGAAUUUUGCGCAAUGCUCGUAAGAGUGACGCAGCGACGCCGCGUGAAUGACGAAGGCCUUCGGGUCGUAAAGUUCUUUCGACAGGGAAGAAAAUGCCUAUAAGUAACUGUGUAUGUAUUGACGGUACCUGUAUAAGCAGCCCCGGCUAACUCCGUGCCAGCAGCCGCGGUAAUACGGAGGGGGCGAGCGUUGUUCGGAGUGACUGGGCGUAAAGAGCACGUAGGCGGUGUUGUAAGUCAUUAGUCAAAGACUAGAGCUCAACUUUAGUAAGGCUAGUGAUACUAUAAUACUAGAGUAUCAGAGAGGAUUGCAGAAUUCCUGGUGUAGCGGUGAAAUGCGUAGAUAUCAGGAGGAAUACCGUUAGCGAAGGCGGCAAUCUGGCUGGAAACUGACGCUGAGGUGCGAAAGCGUGGGUAGCAAACAGGAUUAGAUACCCUGGUAGUCCACGCUGUAAACGAUGGAUGCUAGGUGUUGGGCUUUUAAGUUCAGUGCCGCAGCAAACGCGAUAAGCAUCCCGCCUGGGGAGUACGUUUGCAAGAAUGAAACUCAAAGGAAUUGACGGGGGCCCGCACAAGCGGUGGAGCACGUGGUUUAAUUCGAUGCUAACCGAAGAACCUUACCUGGGUUUGACAUCCACAGAAGGCGUUAGAGAUAAUGCUGUGCCUGAUUUAUCAGGAGCUGUGAGACAGGUGCUGCAUGGCUGUCGUCAGCUCGUGCCGUGAGGUGUUGGGUUAAGUCCCGCAACGAGCGCAACCCCUAUUUCCAGUUGCUAACGGUUGAAGCUGAGCACUCUGGAGAGACUGCCAGCGAUAAGCUGGAGGAAGGUGGGGACGACGUCAAGUCAUCAUGGCCCUUAUGUCCAGGGCUACACACGUGCUACAAUGGCAUAAUCAGAGGGAAGCAUCUCCGCAAGGAUAAGCGAAUCUCAUAAAUUAUGUCUCAGUUCAGAUUGCAGUCUGCAACUCGACUGCAUGAAGUCGGAAUCGCUAGUAAUCGCAGAUCAGCAAAGCUGCGGUGAAUACGUUCCCGGGCCUUGUACACACCGCCCGUCACACCACGGGAGUCGGUCGCGCCUGAAGCCGGUGGCCUAUCAGUAAUGGGGGAGCCGUCUAUGGCGAGAUUGGUAACUGGGGUGAAGUCGUAACAAGGUAGCCGUACCGGAAGGUGUGGCUGGAUCACCUCCUUU